rnacentral:lncRNA from 1 species
UCCCCAACAUAUUGUACUUCUGGCUCCAACUUUGCUCGACCUUGUUGUCAAGUGUCCAGAUCUGCAGCUUACCAUAAAUAACUUUGUGCCAGGUUUGAGCGGUUGCUAUACAUAUUUUCCCAUCUAUCUCUCUCAUCCUGUACCUACGGGGACCACCAUAAACACUAUUUUCAAGUACGGAUGUUGGCAGUUCUAUCCGUGCAAAAGCUUCUUCGCCGAGAUCAAAGCACAUAACAACAUGCUUCCAGUUAGUUGCCAUAUCAUUAGUUAACCAAUACAUUGUUCCGCCAACAUUGAUUAGUCCAGAGUUUUUGACGCAACUCAAGCUUAAGGCUUCUGGGGUUCUGAUGUCUUUCCAUUUCUCAUCACCAAGCCUGUAAACUUGAAUGAUGGUGAAUUUGUCUCCAUUCUCGGGACGGCCCUCAACAUAGUCACCCAAGUGUGUAAUUUUGUAUUCUCUUGUCAAAGGGUGAAACCCAAAACUAUAGAACAAGAAUUGGUCGCCACUCAAAUUCUUUAUAGGUUUCUCAAGAUGCAGACAUUCGCCAGUUGCAAGGUUAGCUAUCUUGAUUGUUGAUGUCUUUGUGUAUAAGCAAAUAAUCCCAUUACAUGAACCACACAGGAAAUCAUCAGGGUCAAUGGUUGGCACUGCAUAUGUUGAUUGUGACCAAGCUUUAUCAAUUAGAAUAGCAUCACUCGGGUAAUGUUUUCCUGCAACAUAAUCUUGUUGGAAGAAUAUGAGGGAAUAAUGGGAUGCAUGCUUCAGGUGUGAUGUGACAAAAUUGGGAUCCCAAAAUUGGGAUCAAGUUUUUCCAGCGCGUACAAACACCAACACACACCAAUAAAGUGCUCACCAGAAGCCGAAAAAAUAUCCGCUCGAUGAGCUCUCUUGGGAGACAGUUUAUGGAAUAUUCCUCAUUCCUUUCCUUCUUUGAACCAGCUUCCUCAGAAUCCAUAAUAAGCAUACUGUAGCCCACUGAUACAAUCUAAUCGUAGAAAUAUGGCACAAGCAUCCGUUGAGACAGUCUAACCACAGAAAUAUUGCACAAGCACACAUUUUAGUAAAAUGAUGAUGUGCACCCCUAUAUUAGAACUAAAAUAACUUGUGGUAAAAAAUAAGAAUCGGUUCUGAAAUUUUGGCCGAAGAUCAUGACACUCCUACAUCCAAGAUCAUGCUAUUUGUUAAUGAAAUAAACAACCUAGCAUGACCUAUAUUAGUGUAAAUUCUUAAUUCACCAUAUUCAAGGGUGAAGCUAUAAGUUAAUAUAGGAAUCCAGACGUUCAGUGUUUUACAACAAUGUUCAGUUCAGAAUAUUUAUGUAUAACCUUGAUGAAGUUUAUUUCUCCUCCAAUGUUAAAUAACUGGACUGAUAACUACCUAAGUAAUUGACAACACAACAAAAUCAAUACCUAGGCAACAUACACUUGUAUGCAAAUAACAUAAGUAUACACAUGACCACAAAUUAAAAUAUUGGGUGAAACAUAGUUUUGUCGUAAUGGAAGUCAGUUACCCAUACAAAUGAAUAGAACAUAAUUAAUUUGAUUAAGUUUCAAAAAAACAUAAUUAAUUUGAUUACAUUUCAAGAUAAUUAUUUAAUCAAUUGGAUGAUAUACUAGAUUAGGCAAGUGUUAACAAGAACAAGCAAGCUAAAGUGGAAAGGAAUAAAAUUACCAGAUCUUGUAGAGCACUCAUCGUCAUACUAAAGAUCAUCCCAAUUUCUCCAUAUAUAUAGCCUAUAGGCAAGUUAAGUUUACUAAUUAUACAUCUAGAAAAAACUCUAAAUUAUCUAGUUAGCAAAUAUAAACACAAUAUACCUCGCAAAUAUCUGCAUCUUUCUUUGUAUGAGAAGUUACCUUUUCUCUAUCCCUCUUCCGCACCACCAAAUUAAGUCGCCAGAGAUUAUCUUGGAUGCUAGAGUGUCAAGACUUAUGUCGCCAAGGUGCGGGUGGUUGCUUCGGCUAUCUCUACCCAAGAUGUGUAAGUUAGAAAAGGCACCCCGACAACAAGCCACAAUUCGGUACUCAGAGAAGCGGCGUGAAGCAAGACUGUAGAUCUUCGCUAAUGGAUGGCAUGAAUAGGUGAUCGAGGAAGCAUGUGGAGCAGAGGUAGGGGUGAGAAUGUGGUUCUCGUGGGCGCAUGAGGGGGGGAGCUGUGGACGCGCGAUGCAGCACCAGAUUUUGGGGGCGAGGCGGCGGCGGCGGCUAGGAUGGAAGGGGGACGGGAGAGGUCGAGAUAUAUAUAUGACUAUGCUAGGGUUUUUUGUGGGCCUUUGGGCCAAUCGGCUGGGGCGGCUAGCAAUUUUGGGUCGUAGCCCAAGCCCACACUACCAAAGAUUUGGAAUCUACUAGAGUACUAGCGUCUGUUUGGAUGGGCGCCAAUUAUUUGGUCUGCCCAGGCCCAUGUGCUUUUCCAAUUCAUUUCAUGCCCACAGUUUAGGCGAGAGGCUUGUGACCGAAUCCUAAGCAAAGUUUUACUUGAGAGCCUUUAUAAUUUAGUGAUUCUUUCUUCUUAUUCAUAAGACCACCAUCAUAAUAUUUUCUGUUAUUCAAUAUGUGUUGGUGCUAAAAACAUGGUCGGUUUCAGAGCUACCAAUUCUUCCACACACACACACAUGGAUUAGGAGAAUUGUAGCCAUGGUUUAUAGAUUAUAGAAGCAAUACAUGUUUAUUUCAGUAGUAUUCAUAUACGGGUGUUGUGCUUAUGUUUAAAGAUUCAGACCUCGACUUUAAGCAUCGGGUAGAUGAUCUGACUCAUUCUUACUAAAAGGUACAAAAAAUAUACCGUGUUGUGCGGCAGAUCUUCUCUCAAUGUUUUACAAUUAUAUUCUUAUAAGUAGCAUUCUAUUCUGGAAAUACUUGUUGUUAGUUGUUAUCCGCUCAUAUGUAGAUCUUUGAGAGGUUAGUUUACACCAUCAUGCACCAUGUGCUAUAUUUAAUAACGAAUUUUAUACUACUUUUUAAGGCGACCAUGCUAAAAGAAUAAUAGCUUAUUAUAGCAUUUCUAAAUUAUGCUAAUGUUGUUACCCCUUUGACAAGCUAAAUACACCCACACAAAAAACUCGGUGUAGAUGUGGUAUGGCCAUGAAAGGCAAUAACUAUUAACUAACCUAUCUUUAUCAUCCAUAUCAUCUAGCUUCUAUUUGGUCAAUCCCUUAUCUCUACAACCUCUAAGCUCAAUGGGUACUUGUGGCUGCUUCUUUUUUAUGGUGGUGUUCCUGCCUACCGAUGAGUGAUAACCUCUCACCCAUUGAACUGCCCGAAAUUGAAAAGCAAUAUUUGUACAUGUAAACUUCACAUACACCAUCCAAGAGUCACACAUAUACAAGGCUAAAUAGACCAUCAUCAAUGGUAAAAAAAAAGUCCGAUAAGGUAAAAACAGCGCAACAAGGCAUGUGUCUGUGUCUGGUAUAUCUGUACGCGUGAUGUGUAAGCUUACUAUUUUUGUUCAACAUAGUUACAAGAUCAAAUUAUAUAAAAGUCCUUAUUCCACUUUACAAAUGGCAUGUGCAUAUAUGGUGAGAAGAUAAAAACCUACACACAACAGGUGUUUGCCAUACAGUGCCAAAAAGGCUUUCACCCGCUUUAUAGAUAAAGUAUAACCAUUGCACGAUACAAAGUCCGGAGUUCAAAAUAGGAAAGGUUGAAAAGAAAAAACAACAACAACAAGAAAAUAAAAGGGGGUACAUGCUGGGGGACACCAGCCCCAAAAAAAAACAGCAAAUCUGCAUCAUUAACUUGUAGGUCUAUGUAUCCAAGGAUAGGAGAAGAAUUCAUGUCUAUCUAUCUAGAUCUCUAUGCAGAUUAAGGGCGUGUACACUUGUGCUAUUUUUGAAGUGCCACGUAAGAUAAGUGUUGAUGUGGAGGAAAGAGAAACUAUAAUAAAAGACUUGUCUUCUCUUGAUUAAGAGAUAGUCUCUCAACAAGAAUAUAUCUCAUCACCUAUUUAAGGAUAUCUAUUUAUUGUCUUCUCUUAAUUAUAUGGUGGGCUUUAGAUAACACUGUAUAUGCCUUAACUGAGAUAAGUUGCUUGUUGUUCCUAACUUACAUGUCACUGUUUGUUUUCCAACGGCUUAGGUGGGGCUAAUUACGGUAAUCCGAUAAAACAUAAUACCCCAUGAAAGCAUAAAACACCGUGUGACAUUUGGUAUAAGAAAAUAAAAUUAUAGGUCAUAAGACAAGAAAAUUUGAAGUUUUUGUAUAUUUUACACUAUGUUUUUACGUUUGUAAUUUUACAUAACAUAAAAUAUUUUUUACGGCGAUGAUAUAUUUUCUUACGGUCUCUUUUUACGUCAGAAAUAAGAUAAAACUUACGAAACGUAAAAUUACAGUGCACUGAUGGUAAAAUAUAGGGGGUGAAGAAUAAUUAUUCCUCACCCAGGGUGACGAAUAGUCAAUCCCUAUCUGACCUAUUGUCAGGAGGUCAUCUCUAAUCAAGGUAACUAGGCCAUCUCUAAUCAAGCUAACUAGGACUGACCUGAAUAUAUAUCUAUUUGAUCUUCCACCAGUCUGUAUACAUCAACAAGCUGCAAAAGAGAAUAUAUAUCUAUUUGAUCUUCCACCAGUCUGUAUACAUCAACAAGCUGCAAAAGAGAGAAACAUGUCGCAGUAAGCCAUCCAGAAAUCUGUCUGAGUCAAACAUUGCACAAUCUAUUUAGAGCAGUACCUGUUCUCUUCUACAUGCAACUUGGAGUCCUUGGUGAAAGCCAUCAUAAGUUGUCUCCCGAUCCCAGAAUCAAUAGGAAUAGCCGCGCUCCAUUCUUUAUUGUGCCAGUGAGAUCAAAUUUCUUCUCGGUUUGUCUACAGCACAGAAGAUCAGAACACUUAUAUGAACGACUAGAUAUACACAACAUGAUACAACAAAUAGGCCUACUAUGCACGGGAGCGACUUUAUGGUGGACGCCCGCUCGUGUGGACUGUAUUCUAGCCAUAGAACGAUUCCUCGAGAUGCCUGUCCCCGUGCUCGUUUCUAGGAGUAGGGUGUAGGUGCUAUGGCGUACGAGCUUGGCACAGGUGUUUCCUCGCGUCGAUGUGUGCAUGCACAUGCCGCAGGGACGGAGGAGUUGGUGGCAUGACCUGGCGAUGUACUCCUACUAGCUUUUGAUGGGUGGUGCGGGCCACAAUGCAGAAACCUUUGCACGUCAGGACGUGGCGAAAAGAGACCCUGCCAAUGUUCCAUCAUGCACAGUGCGCAUCUCUUGCGUCUACGUCUACUGGAUCUAAAAAGAAAAUUAGUCCGGGUCAAUAAUCAAAUCUACUUUAGUAGUUUAAUGUGACGGAUAAAAAUCAGAUUGAUAAAAUCUAAGAACAGUAUGGUGGACGGGUGCAUUUGAUCUUUAUUUUUCAAAUGAUUUAAAAAGCAUAUUUGUCAAAUUUCCAAAAAAAACCUUUGAGAUGAACCUGUGAAAUUUCGUUCAAAAAAUAUUAUGACUUGCAAGCUGUACAAAAAAAAAAUCUUAGCCCAACAAUAAAAAAAUUGACCCACUUUUAUUGACGUAUUUGUUUUUAUUUGUUUACGUCGCGUAUGAUAGUAUAUUGUUAUGAAAUUUUGUUGAAUGUGUUAUAUGUGCAUUUGUGUAUGUACAAAUAUUUUUGAUUUUUUUGCGCUGUGGAAAUAUUGUUUUCCUCAAAAGUCCACCAAAAGACAUUUUCACCUUCUUAUAGACUAGGCUCCAAGAUGGUUUGUGGCCAAAGAACAAAAUUUGGUAAUACAAAAAAUUAUAUAACAGGCGGCACAGUAAUAUUAAUCUUUUUUUACGGGAGAGUAAUACAUUAAUCUAACAAACUAUGUGAGACCAAUUCUUGUUCAGAGCCCCAACCGUGCAGAAACUUCUAAGAGCAUCUCUAGUAGACCCCGCAUAAGUGGUCAAACCAGCAAAAUUUUGGCGUUUUACAGUUUCGGGCAAAAAAGUGUCCAGAACAGAAACCGUAAAAGUGGUCCAACCCGUAAAAUUUUUAAGGGCCACCGCAAAUGCACACCCGAAACCCUUAUCUUUGGAGGUUGCAAGGCCGAAUUUAGGGGGCCCUGUAUACCGGUCAAACCUCGUCGGAGCAAACACGCCGCCGCGGAGUUUGCCGGAAUCCGCCCUAAACUCGCCGGAAUUCAUCACCGCACAUCGGAAAAGGUCGCUAGACGGCGCGAUCGCUCGCCGCCGGUUCGAAUUGGACGAGCUCGACAUCGUCGUGGCCUCCCAUGACCUCAGCCUGGCCGCCGGAAUCCUCCCGACGCGGCAGGCAAAGGGGCACGGCUCGCCUGGCAAUAGAGCAAGGCGCGGACGACGGAGGCGACGGGGCGUGGCCGGCAAGGCUGGGCGCGGACGACGGAGGCGACGGGGCGUGGCCGGCGAGGCUGGGCGCGAGCGGCGCGGUGUUGAGGCGCGACCGGCAGGGACGGGGCGCGACCGAUGGACGAUGGGGCACNNNNNNNNNNNNNNNNNNNNNNNNNNNNNNNNNNNNNNNNNNNNNNNNNNNNNNNNNNNNNNNNNNNNNNNNNNNNNNNNNNNNNNNNNNNNNNNNNNNNNNNNNNNNNNNNNNNNNNNNNNNNNNNNNNNNNNNNNNNNNNNNNNNNNNNNNNNNNNNNNNNNNNNNNNNNNNNNNNNNNNNNNNNNNNNNNNNNNNNNNNNNNNNNNNNNNNNNNNNNNNNNNNNNNNNNNNNNNNNNNNNNNNNNNNNNNNNNNNNNNNNNNNNNNNNNNNNNNNNNNNNNNNNNNNNNNNNNNNNNNNNNNNNNNNNNNNNNNNNNNNNNNNNNNNNNNNNNNNNNNNNNNNNNNNNNNNNNNNNNNNNNNNNNNNNNNNNNNNNNNNNNNNNNNNNNNNNNNNNNNNNNNNNNNNNNNNNNNNNNNNNNNNNNNNNNNNNNNNNNNNNNNNNNNNNNNNNNNNNNNNNNNNNNNNNNNNNNNNNNNNNNNNNNNNNNNNNNNNNNNNNNNNNNNNNNNNNNNNNNNNNNNNNNNNNNNNNNNNNNNNNNNNNNNNNNNNNNNNNNNNNNNNNNNNNNNNNNNNNNGAUGGGGCACGGCUGACGGGCGACGGGGCGCGGCCGGCGUGGCCGGCGCGGCCGGCUAGAGGAAGGGGCGGCAACGGCCGGACUGGAGGAAGGAGCUCUUUAUUCCAGUUUUGCAGUUUGUUUUACAGUAUCUGUUCGGCCGCGCUAGUUUUCGACCCGCAAACGCGAUCUUCGUGAAACUGCAAACGCGUUUUGCGGGUCAAAUUUUUGCGGGGUCUGCUAGAGUUGCUUUAAUAGCCAUAUAAAAAUAGUUUAAAUCCUAGUUUAAGUAAAUGGCCCUGACGGCCAGAUGGUACUAACAGACAAUAUAGUAGUUUUAUUUUAUGGAUAAAAUCUAAGAACACCUAUAGGUCUAACUGAUGAAAUUAUAAGGUGACAGUAUAGAGUUUAAGAUAAUUUGUGGUCAGAAAAAAUAUCUGAACGAGCGUCACAAUAAUAAAUUACUCUAAAGCAGUCUGUACGAGAUUAAUAGGUGUUUAGCGGACUAACAAACUGGACUUAACGGCGGAUUAUUAUUUGAUGUGCUCUUGUGAGGGGAGCGUCAAUUGGGCAUAAGGUCACGUCACAUCGCACUAUUCCGGGAGCAGAGGGUAACAGCAUCUUCAGCCGUUUGCCCCCCAAGGGCGAUUUUAGGCGAAAAAUAGCACCUCCUGAGCGCUCGCCAGCGAUAAUUUCAGUGUGAGGGGAAACAAUUUCCAGCCGCGACCGCAACGGCAUCGGCCAUAAAAAAAACCAAAGUCGACGGAAUUUGGUUGAUUUGGACGAAAUAUAGGCGAUUUCAUUGAUAUUUAGGCGAAUUUACAUAGAUUAAAACAUAAAAGAACUACUCGUUGUUCAUGCCGAGGAGGUUGUAGAAGACGGUGUAGUCGUCGCCGCCGUCGUCAUCGCCCUUGCUCGGCGGCCCAUCCUUCGGACCGGCUGGUUCAACGCAGUGACCUCGUCGUCGCUGUCGGAGAGCACGACGACGCCGCCCUCAUCGCGGCCGCGGCACCGCGCGGCGAUUUCUUUUAGAGCGCGGCGCUGGCGCUCCAUCUCCUGCGCCAUGUAGUCCUGCCGCGACCAGAUGAGGCCGCUCUCGAGGUCGGCGGCCAUGGCCUCGUGCUCCUGCUUCACCACGACGGUCGACGGCGGCUCGUUCUUCGGCUUGACCAGGCGGGUGUGGCCGCGGGGAGGGGAAGGGACACGGCCACCCUCGUUGAUGACGAGGUUGCCGCCGCGGCUGCGCCGACGGACCGACGUCUCCUGCGGCUCGGGCUUGACGGGUAGGAGUGCCGCCAGCGCUGACCCGAAGGAGCGGGAGCCCGAGGAAGACGAGGACGGCAUGCCCAUGCGCCUCGGCAUCCAGGAGCUUCCGCGACGGUGAGAGAAGGAGGGCGUCGGGUACUCGAGCGGUGGCUCAUUGCCGCCCUCGAUGUGCGCGAGCACAACGGAGAGAGUCCGCUCGGGUGCGCCCCACCAUUGACGGCGACCCUCCGAGUUAUUCCCCCCCCCCCCGGCGCCAGGGCGCCGUUGGUGGACACCAGCUGUUCGGCGCGGCGCCGCUCGAAGUAGGUGGUCCAAAGCGCGUGGUUGUCCGCCGCGUACCGUGGCUGUUGGGGCGCUUGCUCCAACAUGUUGGCCCGGAUCGCCGCGAUCUCGGCGGGGCGUUCUACAUCGGAGGGCAGCGGAGGCACCGGGACGCCGCCUGCGCUCAGCCGCCAUGCGCCGGGCACCUGCAUGUCGGGCGGCGUCUGGUAGUUCGCCUCGUGCAGCAGGCGCGCCUCCCACUCGUGCAGCCAAUGGCGGCCAAAGUCGUUGGGCGCCGCACCGUCGUCGGGGAACCUCUCCGCCAUGGCGAGUGCAUGAGGACGAUGAAGGAGAGAGGGCGAAAAAGGUGGUGGGCGCUGAAGGCAGGAGAGAGAGAGAGAGAGAGAGAGAGAGAGAGAGAGAGAGAGAUGGCUUUGGCGAGUGUGCGGCGAGUAGCGACGAAGGUCGGCUUUUAUAGCGGCGAGAGGGCAGCAGCGGUGUGGACGCAUGGCGAGAAAGGGCGGCACGUGCGGCGGUGGCUCGCCAUUACUGCGCCGCCCGUCAUCAAUGGAAGGCUGGCUGGUGAAGCAUUCGCAUUGAAUCGCGCAGUAGCCGAGGCGAGGCGAUGAGGACGACGGAGCAUAGUCGCUGACUUGGCGGGCCCACAGGGGGAAAUCUGGGGCGGUUUGUUUUCGCACCAUUUUUCUUUCCCCUGCGCCCUCGGUCGGCCCCCAGCGAGCUGGGUUCGGCCUGGGUCCGCCGGCGCCAAUUUCGGCCUAAACCGNNNNNNNNNNNNNNNNNNNNNNNNNNNNNNNNNNNNNNNNNNNNNNNNNNNNNNNNNNNNNNNNNNNNNNNNNNNNNNNNNNNNNNNNNNNNNNNNNNNNNNNNNNNNNNNNNNNNNNNNNNNNNNNNNNNNNNNNNNNNNNNNNNNNNNNNNNNNNNNNNNNNNNNNNNNNNNNNNNNNNNNNNNNNNNNNNNNNNNNNNNNNNNNNNNNNNNNNNNNNNNNNNNNNNNNNNNNNNNNNNNNNNNNNNNNNNNNNNNNNGUUUGGAUUGUGACUAUCUUUGUCCUAUAUUGCCACAUUAUUUUUGCCACACUUGCCACCUUUGCCUUACUUGACUUGUUCAAAUUGUUAGGCACACUUUGGCUUGCCUAAGGGAAUCUUGCCACACUUUUUGUGUCUAUGAUAUGUGGAGUUCACUGCUCAUUAAAAAAUUCUUGCCUUAGGUGUGGCUAGAACCAAACACCCACCUAACUUGGUCAAACUUGCCUAUGUGAGGUAUGGUAAAGUGUGUCUAGGAACCAAACAACCUCUAAAUUGAAAUGGUGUCAUACUCAUUCCAGCAGCCAGAUUCUCUGUCAAUAAAGCUAACUAUAGCUGCCGGGAUACAAGCUUUGACUGGGUUCUAGGGGGGACAGAAUGCACAAAUACCGGGAGGGAUAUGAGAGCAACUCCAACGCGCCGAAGCAUUUCGUCCGCACGUGUUCGUUGGGGUCACCGUGGACAGAAAAGUCGGCCCAAUGAGCCAACCCAAACGGACGCGCAUCCGCUUUUCGUCUGCCUGCCGACCCAUUCCCUACCCAAUUUUUGGUCUGAUUUGCGUCGGCGCGGGCACGAAGCGGACGCGCGCGACGCUCGCUUACUCCUCCCCCUGUCCCGUUAGUCGGUGGCGCAUUGGCCAUCCUCUGCCCCGCCCUGUCGCCGCCGCUGCCUAGUUCCGGUGUCUCUGCCAGUAGUCCUUGCCUCCACACCUCCCACGCCGCCACCACCCACGUAGCCGCACCGCCUCGCCGCCGGGCCACCGCAGCUCCCCCCCUUCCCCCUCUCCGAUGUCGCUGGGAGCAUGAAGUCGCCCACUGCGGCCCCGGACAGCUCCUUCGUCUGACACCACCCUGCUGACGCCGCCACGCUCGUUGGAUGCCGCCAGGCUAGCCAACUGGUCCAGGGGAGGCACGCGUCUCUUCGCUGGCCAGCUCCUUCCUCGAUGCCCUCAAGUUGCUCGACAGUUUGCCUCAAGGUACAAAUGGACUCCGCCGACGAGUUCUUUUUCCACAAUUUUAUAUGCGACUCCGACGAUUCCUCAUCCGAUGAUGAGGAGAUGCUGGCUGCCGUGUUGGUCCAUGACCACCUUAAUAGACAUCGGCCGUUGUUCUGGGGCUCGAUCCCAGGGAACAUUCCGGCGUUGAAUCGCAACCGAGAGAGCGGCCAUUUGCUUCUAUGGAAGGACUACUUUGACACAGCCAACCCGCUGUUCAAACAUCAGAAAUUUCGGCGGCGUUUCCGUACGGCUAGGCAUGUUUUCAACCGUAUUAGAGAGGGAGUGGUCGGAUACAAUAAUUAUUUCGAGUGCAAAGAGGAUGCCCUUGGAAAGAUUGGCUUCUCAUCUUAUCAGAAAUUCACUGCAGCCAUCCGGAUGCUUGCAUACAGAGUGCCCGGUGAUCUCUUUGAUGAGUAUGUCCGUAUGAGCAAGUCUGCGUGCUUAGAGUCCAUGUACAGGUUCUGCAAGGCUGUGAUUGCUGUGUUUGGCCCUGAGUACUUGAGAGAGUCGACUGCUGCAAAUACAGCCCGCUUGUUGGCGAUGAAUGCCAGCAGAGGCUUCCCAGGUAUGUUUGGCAGCAUAGACUGCAUGCACUGGGAGUGGAAGAACUGCCCUUCUGCUUGGCAAGGCAGUAUAAGGGCCAUGUCAGGGCUUGCACUGUCAUACUUGAGGCCGUGGCCUCACAAGAUCUCUGGAUCUGGCACUCUUUCUUCGGCAUGGCCGGAUCGCACAAUGCUAUCAACGUGCUUCAACGCUUUGCAAGGCUUGCCGAAGGCAACAGCCUGCCGGUGAAUGUUAACAUCAACGGCCACAAUUAUGACAAAGGAUAUUACCUAGGUGACGGUAUCUAUUCUCAGUGGACCACUAUCGUGAAGACAAUCCCCAACCUUGUCGGAGAGAAAAGGAAAAGAUUUUUGCCCAAGAGCGAGAGAGUGCUAGGAAAGAUGUCGAGCGUGCCUUUGGUGUUCUGCAAUCUCGAUGAGGCAUCGUUCGGUAUCCUCCUAGAACUUGGAGCACCAAGAAGUUGUGGGAGGUGAUGACUGCUUGUAUGAUCAUGCACAAUAUGAUCGAUGAGUGUCCGGAACGUAUUUACGAUCAAUGGUUUCAGUUUCAGGGUGAGAAUGUUGUGCCUGAGCAUGGAGGAGCGACAACGUUUGCACAGUUCACCCAAUUUUAUCAUGGAAUGCAUGAUUGGGAAACUCACAUGCAGCUGCAAAAUGAUUUGGUUAAGCAUAUAUGGGCUCAUGUUGGCAACCAAUAGAUGUAUCUUUUUUUAAAAUAUAUUUGAGACAAUUUAUUUUUAUUUGGCUUGUAAACUAUGCUAAAUUUAUUUGGUUUUGAAAUUAUGCUAUUUUUGUCUGCUUAUGAAACUAUGCAAAAAUGUGCGUGUAUAUGUUCUAAAAUGGCGGCAAGCCGGCCACGCGGGGGAAUAUGGGUAGGCGCAUUGGACGCAUUGCCGACCCAAAUCAUAAACAAAGCGGACGCCGAGCGGGUGGCUGACGCAAACGGACAAAAAGCGGACAAAAUCGCCGUCCGUUUGGAUCGGCGCGUUGGAAUUGCUCUGAUGACUUAUGAUAACGGACGGGUAUGAUAUGGCCCACAGAGUGCUCGUCCACCAUAAGGCAUUUUCGUACUAUGCACAAGGUAUUACUUUAUAGUGGAGGAUUGGUUCUCAUCUUGGACACAUUUUCUUUUGCAAGAGCCAUAAGGUUUUCUAGCCGUUUCCGCUAGAACAAUCCAUAUUUUGACAACACCUGUAUGGAAAAAGGUUGGGCAAUGAUGAUAAUAUCUAAACAAAUGGGUAUAAACAACAAUAAUAAAGACAACAUAAUUACAUAUAUAGCGCAUUGGGUCCUGGAAGCGAACAAAUGGCUCUCGGAGGCGCAACACCUUGAUAUCUUCGUCAGUGAGUUCCUGCAUCAAGAUGGCUGCAUUAAAAGCUUAAUGAAUUUGCCGGUUAUAGAUACAUAUCCAAUACACGAUGAUACACAGUGGUCUACUGUUCUGUGCACACAAAGUCAAUAUUCUCAAUUAAUAUCAUCUGGGUUUGAAAGGUGCAUGUGUCAGUUAUAAAUGUUGUAGUUAAUAGUUAGGUGAGAAACCCGUUAAUAGAAAGGUGCAUGGGUCAGUUUUGGAUGGAGACGACUCAUUUCAAUUUUCUUUACAAAGAAGAACACGUUAGGUGAGAAGCUGGUACUAGUACUAGUUGAUGCUAUCAUAAACACUAUUUAAGCUCCUUUUAGCGGGUUGGUCUCUCAGAUAAACCAAACACAGUAAGUUCUAAACCCUGUUAUCUAUUUUUAAGGCCUAUCGACCCAACUAUUGUUCUUCUCUUAUAUUAAACCCUGUUAUCUAUUUCUAAGGCAUAUCGACCCAAGUUUUUUUUAGAUUACUAUAAUAUAAUCUCUUAUGGGGCAUGUAGGUUGCUCAGUGUUAAUUCAACAUUGAUAGAAGGAUUUAGUGCUAAACUGCUAAGGGAUGAUGGAGGAAAGAAUUUAGUGUGCUUAGGAAGAAACAUUAUGGUGGAGAAAAACGUGUGCAGUAAAUAGAGUGUAAGACCAUUUAUGGUUGGCAUAAGAGCUCGUACACGUAAUAGAUGCAUGGUGGGGCCGAAGUGGGUCAGGCCAGGGAUAGAACACAAGAUAAUACCGCACCUAUACCUGACAUAAUUCUAACCAAAUGUUAUAAUACAAAUAGACAAUUAUAGUGAUGCAAAUCCCUAUGCAUGUUUAAGGGUGAGAUUUUAGUGGGCUGCGCCGCUAGGUGCUCCUACACAUUUUUCAUUGGGUCCUUCCAAAUUAUGAACGGUUAAUAGGCAUAAAUAAAUAUCAUAAGAUAAGCCUACCGCUUUCUUUCUUUUUUGACAGAGCAACAUAAAUGUUAAAGAAACAUUUCUUUUACCAAAGAUUGAAAGUUUUAUUCCAUUUUUUACCCUCAAGGAUGACACUUUUGACAUGGAUUACCCCCAAAGUACAAGUUUGGUCACUUGUUAUCCCAAUUUUGAAAUUAUGACACAUUUCAUCCCCUUGGAAGCAACAAUACUAAUUUUCAUUUAAGUAAUUCUUGGCUCUGGACCAGACUUGACGCUGAGCUCUCUGAUGAAACGGACGAGCCGCCCUAACUCGGAUGACGAUGAGCCCCCGUCGGCGAUGUCCAGCCUCAACUGCUCCGCCAUGGCUUGGGCCGCUGCCUUGAUCUGGCCGGACACCAUGGCCUCCCUCACCAUCUUCUCCACGACAGCCCUGUCGCACACGUCCUUCAUGUCCAGCCCCGUCCUCCACACGGCGCCCACGAGACGGCUGUUCAUCUGUUGGUCGAGGAAGAAGGGCCAGCACACCAUCGGCACGCCCUCGACGGCGCAUUCCAGCGUGGAGUUCCAACCGGCGUGUGUCAGGAAGCAGCCCACCGCUCUGUGCCGCAGCACGUCCCGCUGAGGAGCCCACUCCACGAUCUUGGCCUUGCCGGCUUGCGCUACCGCGACGGCUUCUCGAAGUAGCGCUGAGCUAGCCAUCUGGACCAUGCCCGGCCGGAGCACCAAGAGGAAGGCGUACCCGGUGGCUGCGAGGCCGGAGAGGAACUCGGUGAGCUGCUCGUACGAGAUCACGGCGAUGCUCCCCAGGCUCACGUAUACGACGGACCGGUCGCCGUGGCCGUCUAACCACGCCAUGCAACCGUCGUCCUCCCGCCACAGGCUCGCGCUUGCGGCGGCCCUCGAGCUGGCGUGGAGUGGACCUACCGCGAAGACGUCGCGUGUGUGCGACGCGAUGUGGGCGAGCGCUGGCCGCUCCAUGGACGCGGAGGUGUUGAUUAUCAACGCACGUGCCUUGCAGCUAUGAGCGACGCCCUCGCCAAUCUUGAGUAUCAUGGGAUCUCCGCCGCCUGCUUGCUCAGUGGAGCAGAGUCCAGGACCACGAGGAAGAUCUCGUCGCCGGAGGAUGCCCUCCAUCCCCAAAACGCCACACACUGGGUCGUCCGCAGGGAAGGGGUUCUCGCCGAGCUCGAAGACCUUGGGCAUGGACAUGAACGCCAGGGAGCUGCACGCGCUGAAUGUGCAGAAGGCAAGCGCCGGGAUGCCGAGAUCCUCGGCGAUGUCGGUGGCGAACGGCAUGGUGCCAUCGGCGAUAACGCAUGUCACCGGCGGCACAUCGUCGGCGGGCGGAAGCAAUGACAAGAGCAGGGCACGGUACGAGGCGCUGCCGGUCGUGCACAUGGACUCCAUCAGCUCCAUGUAGUGGCGGGGGUGGUCGUCGGGGAGGCCAUCGGGGAUAGACAGCAAACGUAGGCGCGGCGGAGGCGCCCUCGCAAUGCGGCAGAGGUUGUGCUCGGUGUGGAGGAAGGUGACGUGGACGCCGGCGUCGAGGAGGGCCGUGGCGAGGUGGAGCAUGGGGUUGAUGAGUCCCUGCCGUGGCCAAGGGAACACAAGGACGUGCACCGCCACCGUAGGCGCAGAGUCCAUCACCGGCGAUGUGCUUCGGCAAACGGCGGCUCGCUAUGUGGAGAUGGUUGGGAAGCGUACGUAUGGAUAGCAGGGACGCGUGCCUAUAUAGAGCAGAUAUACUAGCGCUUUGGCAAACACAACACACCUAACACGCGCAGCCUAACAAACCCCUGACAACUAUACAAAUAUUAGGACGCUUUGCCUCACGCGUCCGAUUGGCAAUAAAAAUACCUCCGGACUGAAGGAAUCUCCGGCAGCAUCCCGUUAUUUUUUUUGGAGGGAUGCAUCCCGUUACUUUGUACCAUCUGCUGGAGCUUUGUGUGUGCAGUGUGUGAGAUUCAAAAAAAAAUCUGCUGGAGCUUUGUGUGUGCAGUGUGCUGGUUUGGGGAAAUAUUUCCAUCCAACUGAUCAGCGUGCAUGUGGCCUAAUUUUUCUAGAGAGAAGGCCUUGAGCCUGACUUUGGGACGCCAAUACCUGCCGAUCAUCAGCUGGAGGCGCAGGCCGAGCAAACGAUUCUACCGCUACUAGAAAUGCGGGUGCAGCUAUACCUUGCUUCUAGCGAGGCAACCUUCCGACUCGCUGGAAUGCCUUGCAGUGACGCCAGCGUAUGUUUUACAUUUUUUAUAUUUAUGUUUUUGUUUUUUCCUUUCAUUUUUUUACUUUCGUUUAUACUUCCAAAUAUUUUAAAUAAAUAUAUUACAAAAAACAUUUUACAAAGAACAUUUCAAGAAAAAAAAUGUUAACCAAACAUUUGAAAAAUAUUAAAUGUGCAUAGAGAAAAUGUUUCCCAUGUACAUAGAGAAAAGUUGAUCAUGUAUGUAAAAAAAAUUUAAACCAAACAUUUAAAAAAUAUUCAAUGUGUAUAGAAAAAUGUUGACAAUGUAAUAAAAAAAAUCAUUAAACUUGUAUUUGCAAAAUGUUAAUCAAGCAUUUGAAAAAUGUUAAAUGUGUAUAGAAAAACGUUGACCGUGUAUUAAAUAANNNNNNNNNNNNNNNNNNNNNNNNNNNNNNNNNNNNNNNNNNNNNNNNNNNNNNNNNNNNNNNNNNNNNNNNNNNNNNNNNNNNNNNNNNNNNNNNNNNNNNNNNNNNNNNNNNNNNNNNNNNNNNNNNNNNNNNNNNNNNNNNNNNNNNNNNNNNNNNNNNNNNNNNNNNNNNNNNNNNNNNNNNNNNNNNNNNNNNNNNNNNNNNNNNNNNNNNNNNNNNNNNNNNNNNNNNNNNNNNNNNNNNNNNNNNNNNNNNNNNNNNNNNNNNNNNNNNNNNNNNNNNNNNNNNNNNNNNNNNNNNNNNNNNNNNNNNNNNNNNNNNNNNNNNNNNNNNNNNNNNNNNNNNNNNNNGUGUAUAGGAAAAAUGUUGACCAUGUAUUCAAAAGAUGUUAAUCUGAUAUUUGAAAAAUGUUAGUCAAACAUUUUAAAAAGUUAUAUGUAGAUACAAAAAAUGUUGACCAUGUAUUCAAUAAAUAUUAAUCUUGUAUUUGAAAAAUAUUAAAAAUGUACUAGCAAAAUGUAUUAGUAUAUACCAAAAAUGUGUAUAGAAAAACAAUGAAAACCCAAAAAAAAUAAACCAAUGAAAAACGAGAAAAAAAUGAAGAAAAAAUCUAGUGAAAAACCAAAAAUAAACAAAGAAGACUAAAGAAAAACAAGUGAAAUAAAAAUACUAGUAAAAGAAGAUAACAUAACCGAAGAAAAAACGAUGAAAAACAAGAAAAAAUACCUAGAAAACUAGUGGUAAACCAGCUCUUUCUCUUUAUUUAACAUGGUAGCGACCUAGUAAUUCAACAUGAAACGGAUGGUGGCCCAAUGGCUAGCAGUGCUACGCUACAACCGUGAGAUCCCAAUUUUCAUUCUCGCGUGUCCCUUUUUCUCUAUAGUCUAUUUCUUAUAGCAUGACUGGGUUGGGCCGCAACUAUAUACCUUCAUGUGAGACCGAAGGAAGACUUGCUAUAAGCGAGAUAUAGAGCUAGUUUGGUUCACCUCCACGGCUUUGUGCCUAGCGUGAGCCUAAGUAGGUGGUAUUUUUUUGCCUGGUGAGGCAGCUUGGAGCUAGUUUGUUUGGUUGGUUGCCUGGGGUGAUGUCUUAUCAGCUGGUGUCAGCAUGGGGUUGGGGUCCCCUCUGCAGUGCACAUGGUCUUUGGUCUCUUCUCUUAAUUAGCAAUUAAGUAUCCCAUGCUGCAUUUUCUAACUCCCAGGCUUCCUGCCACGGACGCCUAGCCGUUGCCUGGCAGGCUAAUGACGUUGGUUGGAUGUCCAGGCCACGCAAGAACUCAACCAUCCAGGAUACGAACCAAACAAUUUACAGACAGGUUCCAGGCUAGCUCCAUGCCAGGCGUGACACUCCCAGAACGUGAACCAAACUAGCCCGUAGCCUCCAAACGAACUUUUUGGUUUGUUGUAAGAAAUACAAUAGACAAUAUUUUUGUCGGAUAGGUUUUCGACGUCUCCAAGCUCAAUCACCAUUACCUUUGUAUACAAAAAUAAAAAAGCGUUAAUUUUUUCAUGAUAUAGGUAAAAAUAAAACAGUAUUAAAAAUUUACCAUCUUAUACAAAACAACUUUGCCAUGUUAUAGAGCAUAAAAAUAUUGUAUCAAUUUCAAUAAAGACAUAUACAAAUUUGCAUGUUUUAAUUCAUGUGACUAUAAUUCUCUGGCAAAUUCAUACAUUUGCCGUGAAUAUAUAAAUUCAUAUAUUUUUCAUGUAGACAAGUUUAAAAGAAAUUCCAUGUAGACACAGUUUAUUUUUUUCCCCAAGUGAUAAGUUUAAAAAUUCAUAGAUUUUGCCAUGUGACAAGUUUAAAAAUUCAUAGAUUUUGCAAAUUUAUAUAUUCUUCGACAAUAUUACAAAUUCUUGUGACAAAGAAUUAUUUGGCAAAUUCAUAGAUUUGCCAUGAAUGUCUACAUACAAAUAUUCUUUGGCAAAAAAUAUAUAUUCUUGGGAAAAACCUAGACUUGGCAUGAUUUAAUGUACAUUUGCCAAGCAUGGCUAUCAAAAAAUUGGCAUGGUACAACCAUGGAAUUUGCCAUUUUUUGGAAUUAAAUUUAUCAUGGAUGUAAAACUAGCCAUGGUCCAGCAAAGUAAUUUGCUAUAGCUAUGAAAUUAAAUUUGCCACGUGCGUAAUACAAACCUGAUCCUAGAAGCGAAUGUGUGUGUAAUGCCAUAUGCCAAAAUUAUGAAUUUUCCAUGCUAUGUACAAUAAAACUACCAUGGUAUAACUAAUAAAAUUUCCAUAUUAUAAAUUGUGAAUUUUCCAUGUCAAUUGUCACAUCUAGAAUUGCCACGAGACAAGUUUCAAUCCCAAAAAAGGCACUUACAAAAAAGCGAUAUGAUACAAAAGAAAUAAAAAGAAAAUUGUUAAGUAGAUUUAAACUUAACAAAAACAAAUUUUGUUAUGUGGCUCUUAUUGGCAUGCCUUAUACACCAAUGUAAGCGAAGUUUUGCUAUCUAAAAUUGAUAUGUUUGGCCAUGAGGAUAUUAUGAAAAUGCAUAAAAUUUCCCAUGUGACAAGUUUAAAAAAUUCAUAAAAUUGCCUUCUGAACAUUUCUAAAAAUUAACUUGCCAUCUUUGGAAAACAUAACAUGAUAUGAAUUUUCCAUGUGACAAAGGAGAAAAUUUGGCAAUUUUUUACAAAAGGAACUUCUCUUCGAAAAUAGUAAAAAGCACCUAAUUUGCUAUGUGACACUUACAAACAUAUCAAAUAUUUGCCAUGUCUUAUACAUCAAAUAAUGCAAUUUUUUUAUCUAGAUAAGUCCAAUAAAUUGGCCAUGGUCUAAAGGCGAAAAAAGUUGUAAAAGGCACGAAAAUUGCCCAAAAAAGUCUAAUUAAAAAAUUCCAUGAUCUAAUUAAUCAAAUUGCCAUUGUGUAAUUGAAAAAAUAUCAUUGUCUAAUUAAUAAAAUCAGCAUGAUGUAAAAAACAAAAUUGCCAUGGUCUAACUGAAUAAAUUGCCAUGUUCUAAAUAAUGAAAUUGCCAUGCUACAUACAAAAAGUUAUCAUGGUCAAAAUAAUUAAAUUACCAUGGUACCUUCAAUAGAACUGUUGGAAAUAUGCCCUAGAGGCAAUAAUAAAUUGGUUAUUAUUAUAUUUCCUUGUUCACGAUAAUCGUUUAUUAUCCAUGCUAGAAUUGUAUUGAUAGGAAACUCAGAUACAUGUGUGGAUACAUAGACAACACCAUGUCCCUAGUAAGCCUCUAGUUGACUAGCUCGUUGAUCAAUAGAUGGUUACGGUUUCCUGACCAUGGACAUUGGAUGUCGUUGAUAACGGGAUCACAUCAUUGGGAGAAUGAUGUGAUGGACAAGACCCAAUCCUAAGCCUAGCACAAGAUCGUGUAGUUCGUUUGCUCAGAGCUUUUCUAAUGUCAAGUAUCAUUUCCUUAGACCAUGAGAUUGUGCAACUCCCGGAUACCGUAGGAAUGCUUUGGGUGUACCAAACGUCACAACGUAACUGGGUGGCUAUAAAGGUGCACUACAGGUAUCUCCGAAAGUGUCUGUUGGGUUGGCACGAAUCGAGACUGGGAUUUGUCACUCCGUGUAAACGGAGAGGUAUCUCUGGGCCCACUCGGUAGGACAUCAUCAUAAUGUGCACAAUGUGACCAAGGAUUUGAUCACGGGAUGAUGUGAGUUACGGAACGAGUAAAGAGACUUGCCAGUAACGAGAUUGAACAAGGUAUAGGGAUACCGACGAUCGAAUCUCGGGCAAGUAACAUAUCGAUAGACAAAGGGAAUUGCAUACGGGAUUGAUUGAAUCCCCGACAUCGAGGUUCAUCCGAUGAGAUCAUCGUGGAACAUGUGGGAGCCAACAUGGGUAUCCAGAUCCCGCUAUUGGUUAUUGACCGGAGAACGUCUCGGUCAUGUCUGCAUGGUUCCCGAACUCGUAGGGUCUACACACUUAAGGUUCGAUGAUGCUAGGGUUAUAGGGAAAGUAUGUACGUGGUUACGAAUGUUGUUCGAAGUCCCGGAUGAGAUCCCGGACGUCACGAGGAGUUCCGAAAUGGUCCGGAGGUAAAGAUUUAUAUAUGGGAAGUCCUGUUUUGGUCACCGGAAAAGUUUCGGGUGAUAUCGGUAAUGUACCGGGACCACCGGGAGGGACCCGGGGGUCCAUCAAGUGGGGCCACCAGCCCCAGAAGGCUGCGUGGGCCAAGUGUGGGAGGGGACCAGCCCCAGGUGGGCUGGUGCGCCCUCCCACCAAGGCCCAAGGCGCAUGGGAGAGUGGGAGGGGGCAAACCCUAGGUCCAGAUGGGCCUUAAGGCCCACCCCUAGUGGCGCCCCCCCUCUCCUCCCCUUGGCCGCCCCCCUAGAUGGGAUCUAGGGCUGGCCGCCACCCCUUGGGGUGGGAAACCCUAGAGGGGGCGCACCCCCUGACCCCCCUAUAUAUAGUUGAGGUUUGGGGCUGCCCAAGACAUGAGAACGUCUCUCUUUCGGCGCAGCCCUACCCCUCUCCCUCCUCCUCCUCUCCCGCGGUGCUUGGCGAAGCCCUGCGGGAUUGCCACGCUCCUCCAUCACCAUCACGCCGUCGUGCUACUGCUGGAUGGAGUCUUCCCCAACCUCUCCCUCUCUCCUUGCUGGAUCAAGGCGUGGGAGACGUCACCGGGCUGCACGUGUGUUGAACGCGGAGGCACCGUUCUUCGGUGCUCAGAUCGGAAUCAACCGCGAUCUGAAUCGCUACGAGUACGAAUCCCUCAUCCGCGUUCUUGCAACGCUUCCGCAUCGCGAUCUACAAUGGUAUGUAGAUGCACUCCCCUUCCCCUCGUUGCUAGAUUACUCCAUAGAUUGAUCUUGGUGAUGCGUAGAAAAUUUUGAAUUUCUGCUACGUUCUCCAACAAGAACUACCAUGGUGUAAUUGAAAAAAAAAUCCAUGGGCUAAAUAAUGAAAUUGCCAUGCCAUUUAAAAUAAAAUUAUCAUGAUCUAGGUAAUAAAUUGUGCCAUGAUCUUAUAUAAAGCUGCCAUGCACUAUACAUAGAAGGUGCCAUAAAACAUUAGAGAAUUUAUUUUUUAUGAACUUACCUAUAUCCCCAUGGCAAGUGUAUAUAUAUACAUCAUCGCAAAAAAAUACACACAAAUCAUGGGGAAAAUAAAAAGGAAAGGAAAACUACACACAAUGGCCAUGCUUUUAUCAUCGCUGAAUUUAAGUUGUGGCAAAAAAAGGAUCAUGGCAAAAUGUGGAUAAAAUACUACUUGAAUCACGGAUAUUGUGUGUGUGUGUGUGUGUGUGUGUGUGUGUGAAGGCAAUAUGUAUGACUUAAAAUGCAUUGAAACUGUUGUUUGCAUUGUUGAUUUGAGGAAAAGAUUUAUUAUUGGCAAAAAACGUGCUAAACUGACAUGGUUAGGAUUGACAAAAAAUAGCAAGAUAAAAUGCGAUGCAAUGUUCAAUUUAUUUGUUGUGGCUAGGAUUGAAUAUAUAUUGGCGUCCCUAGCAGACGAUCGCCAGGUAUUGGCGUCCUAAAAGUCAGGCUCAAGGCCUUCUCUCUAGAAAAAUUAGGCCACAUGCACGCCAAUCAGGUGGAUGGAAAUAUUUCCCCAAACCAGCACCCACAAAGCUCCAGCAGAUGGUACAAAGUAGCAGGAUGCUGCCGGAGAUUCCUUCAGUCCGGAGGUAUAUAUAUAAGAGUUGCCAUGUGAGCAUAAAAUGGAUUUUUUUUCAAAAUUUCCAUGUUUUGGAAAAAGAGUUUUUUUAAUUGCCAUGUGACAUAAGUAACAAAUUUUAGAAUUUACCGUGAGCAUUUGUCAUGGUGUGUUUUCCUCAUGGCAAAAAAUAUAGAAAAAUGCCAGGGGACAAAACAUUGUUGUGCUAAUAGUCAUGAAUUUAUCAAGUAUGCGUAAGACCACAAAAAUCCACAUUGACAAAACGUUACGCUAAUAAAACAUACAGAAAUGCCACAUGCUACUAAACCAGUACUGAUAAAAUUGCCAUGGAUUAUUUUUAGCAUGAACAAGUACUAAGGUGAAACUCACAACUAAGGGUGGGCACUGAAAAUUGCAUAUAUACUUAGACUUCACUCAAAAAGAUGGGAUCAUGCAUCCAAGGUAAAUCUGACCUGAUAAACCGACAAAGGAAGUUGAUCGAUGGUACCGCUCAAUUAGUUCCGUGCCACCGUCGAUGGAGUGCGCCACUGUGUACAGCUUGACGCAUUAAAGUGUGCGGUUGGUUGCCAGUUGCAAAAGCAUCUCACGCGCUUCGAUGAGCCAUAAUAAGCCUCAAGUAUAAAGUUUUGACCGAGAACUUGCCAAAAGCCGUAUGAGGCCAUGAUAUCAUGUCCCACAUUCUCAAAAGAGGCGGGAAAAGGGUAGAGUGUUUGCUAGUCCAGUAGCUCUUCAGGGGACGGAGACCAACAUGUAACACUCUGGGAUCAUCACUAUGCAGAUCUACCAAUUCCGCUAGCCUCCACAUAAUGACGAUACUAAGGCGCUAAAGCUUCACACAAUAAACACGUCGAGAUGUAUCCGCCUUGUGGAACAAUAGUCGGUAUCACAACAUAGAAAACGAAAUAGUAUGCAACAACAACAUAUACAUAUACAACUCAUACAAUGAGUGAAUACAACAACUGUCUUUUGACCAAGAUAGAACUUAUACAACAGAAGUGAAUUACACCUUAGACAGGUAAAGAGUGCAAAUGCUUUAAGCAGGCUCAAAUGAAAGCAAAGGCGCCAUUAUCCCUGCCAAGACUGUUGUUUGUGGGAUAACCAGCUAACGUCUCCAUCAUCAAACCUCCUUCCUGAAUCAUUGUCAGCUAGAUUGGCGGCAAUCCAAGGAGAAGUGUAAAUUAAGCAAGGUGAGUACACAGCCGUACUCGCAAGACUCGCGAGGACCUACACUACUAUAUGCAUACUUUUCAAAAGGAACUGGUAAUGUGGUUUGUGGAACAAGCACCUCUGCGUUCUACGGAGACAUGCUACAACUUCUUUGUAUUAGAGAUAAGAUGGGAGAGUGCAUAAAAGUAGAAAGAAUCAUGCAUCAUCUACUCUAUUCACCUACUAAAAGUGCAACUAAUCCCUGGGUGGUUUUGGUAAUUCAUAACAACAUAUAGCUCAUUGAACUAAUAUCCAUUCAAGAUUAAUGUUUCAGAAAGUUCAAUGAUUGGCAUGGCAUGUACUAGAGAUGUGGACACCUUAAAAUGCUAAGGACACAUAUUGGCAAAAGCUCAAGACUCUACAUUUUCAUUUUAGUGAUCCAAGAUCACAUUGAGUCCAUAUAUAGGAAAAUCCAAUACUAUUAAAAGGGGAUGAGGUGUUUCUUAAUGGCUUGCUUGCUCAAAAUGCUUAAUGAUAUGCUCCAAAGCCCUCAACCACUUUCUCAUUUCCACAUAUGUCCUAAACCUAAAGUCAAACUCAACCCCACCGAUUUGAUCUAUCCAGCGCCACCGAGUUCACUUGACAUAGCCAUAGCCAGAAACUCUAAUCAGUUCAGUCUCACCGAUAGGGAUCUUGGUCUCACCGAGAUGGGAUUGCAAACUCUCUGUUUCCCUUCGUAACGUUUCGUUCUAACCGAGAUGAGCGAUCGAUCCCACCGAGUUGGCAAUGCAAACUCUCUGUUUCCUUUUCGUAACGUUUCGGCCUAAUCGAAAUGAGCGAUCGGUCCCACCGAGUUUGCCAGACCAACUCUCUGUUUUCUUAUUACCAAAAUCGGUCUCACCGAGUUUGUGUAAUCAGUCAAACCGAGAUCAAGUUUUGCCCUAAUCCUAGCACAUCGGUCUCACCGAGUUGACCAUGUCGGUCCCACCGAAAAUCCUAACAUUCACAUUUUGAACCAAGUCGGUCUCACCGAGUUUCAAUAUUCGGUCCCACCGAGUUUUGUAAAUUGUGUGUAAUGGUUAGAUUUUGUGUGGAGGCUAUAUAUACCCCUCCACCCAUUCUCCAUUCGGAGAGAGAGCCAUCAGAACGUGCCUACACUUCCACUACUCAUUUUUUGAGAGUGAACCACCUACUCAUGUGUUGAGACUAAGACAUUCCAAUCCAACCACAAGAAUCUUGAUCUCUAGCCUUCCCCAACUUGCUUUCCACUCAGAUCAUCUUUCCACCAUAUCCAAAUCUGUGAGAGAGAGUUGUGUGUUGGUGAGAGUAUCAUUUAAAGCAGAAGAGCAAGGAGUUCAUCAUCAACACACCAUCCAUUACCUUUUGGAGAGUGGUGUCUCCUAGAUUGGUUAGGUGUCACUUGGCAGCCUCCAUCAAGAUUGUGGAAUUGAACCAAGGAGUUUGUAAGGGCAAGGAGAUCGCCUACUUCGUGAAGAUAUACCCUAGUGAGGCAAGUCCUUCGUGGGCGACGGCCAUGGUGGGAUAGAUAAGGUUGCUUCUUCGCGGACCCUUCGUGGGUGGAGCCCUCCGUGGACUCGCGCAACCAUUACCGUUCGUGGGUUGAAGUCUCCACCAACGUGGCCGGUCCAUCAGCUUUCAGGUACCGGUUUUGGGAACCUUCUAGAGGUUUCCCAGCCAGUUUUAACGAUUUUGGGAACCCUCCAGAAGGUUCCUGAACCGUUUUCUCUAUUUCUCCUUUUUAUUUCCAUUUUCAAUUUUAUUUGUUCUGCUUUUUUAUUUGUUCUGUCUUCUUUUCCUUUUUUUUGUUUCCUUUUUCUUUUCUAUUUCCAUUUCAAGUUAAUUUAUUUUCUUAACAAAUUUCCGCAAUUUAAACUGUUUGUAUUUCUUAAAAUUUGUUCAUUUUUUCAGAUUUUGUUUGUCUUCUCAAAUUUUGUGCAGAAAUUCCACAAAUAUUUUAGUAUUUUAAAAUUUGUUCACUUCAUUUCCAAAAAUGUACAUAAAUCCAUAACAGUUUAAAUUUUCUGAAAACGUUUGAAUUUCUUAAUUUUGUUCAAAAUUCAGAAAAUGUUCCUGUUUUCAAACAUUGUUCACAAAUUCAGAAAAUGUCUGCGUUUCCAAAAUUUGUUCGUAAAUUCAGAAAAUGUUAUCAAAAAUUUCAUAAAGUGUUCGCAUUUUUAGAAAAAAUGUUCUGGUUGACAAAAUUUAUUCACAAAUUCAAAAUUUCCGCGUUUUUGUAAUUUGUUCACAAAUUGAAAAAAUGUUUGCGAGAAUUACAUAAAAUCUACGUGAUUUCAAAAAAUUAUUAUUAAUUUCAGAAAAUGUCAGCAUUUUCUCAAUUUUGUUCCUGUUUUUAGAAAAUGUUCGCAUUUUGAAAAAGUUGUUCGUAAUUUUGAAAAAUGUUCUCGCUUUCAAUUUUGUUCCUUCUUUUACAAUAAAUGUUUCAAAUUCUAAGAAAAAAUGUUCGAGUCUUUAAAGGUUCAUUAGAAAAUUUUGAAAAUGUUCGGCUUUCUAAAUAUAUUUACUUUUGUGAAAGGUAAACCACGUUUGAAAUUUCAAAAAACUUCAUUUUCUUUUGCCGCGUGUAGUUUAUAUUAACUGAGCUAGCAUUUUUAGACAAGCUAGUAGUUGAACAUAGUGGCUAGCGACGUGGUUCACUCAGUUUAGGUCGUGUGUUCAAUUCCCCACUCGCACAUUCUUGAGAAUAUUUUGCGGGCUGUUCUUUAAAUUUUGGCGUAGCCUCAGUUUUUUUAAUCACAUUGCUACUUUUUUAGUAGAGUUAACUAGUCUUGCUAAGCACGCUCUAGGAGAUUAUAGUAACAUCAAGACAAUUUAAGAGAUGCUCCUUCAUCUUCAAAGACAUGGCACCAAUAUUGAGGCACAUAGUUUCACUAAGCACACUCUAGGGCUUUCGGUUGGACGCCAUGUGUGUCAGAGGUAUUUGUAGAUGGACCAGCUAUACACAACCACAGAGGCAGGCAAUGGUAUGAUAGGUAAGGACAAGUACUGGCCUAGACAAGACUUUUGGAGGGCAAGUAAAUGAACAAGGACCUUUUCCAGCGCGAGUAAAUGGAAGAGUUGUUGCACGUUAUCAAAUGGUCUGUAUUUUACCCUGAUCACUGUCUUGUAAAACAAAUUUAACCACCAUUUCUCAUACAAAAACACUAUUUUGUAAAGGCAGCCUGCGCAAAUGAACACAAAGUUCUUUUUAUUCCUCAGCCCUCUUUUGUUCGUAUUUGUGCUUAAGAUUUUACGAAGCUUGUACAAAAAUUACACAAUUGCUCUCUUACCAUCGGCGAAAAUAACUACAUAUUCUAUUGUACACAGUACACAUGACACACUUGAGCAGUCCAACUACCGCGUUAACUGAUUUUACCCGUAGAUAAUUGAUCGACUGGGUCGUCCAAGCGUGCGAUAUAUUUACUCGUGGUCCACUAGCCAGAAUAAUAAACUAGCCACCCACACACUGUAAAAUUAGUCGCGGGUAGCUGCAUGCUCGAGUGACCGGUCGCGUAUCAGCCGGGACGUGCACCUCCUCGCCGCGCCCAAGAAACUGGGCUGAUGGCCGGAGCCGCGCGCACCGUGAGUGGCCGUGGUCGUUGCCGACGGAGCAGCAGACGCGGCGGGUAGGUUGCCAAGGUUGGGUCGGCGCCAGUCGUCGCGUCUCGAUGUUGACGGCCGCGCGUCCGCGUCGCCGCACCGCUGUGUAGCCAUCCAGCUCGGACGCAAUGUGCUGGGCGUGGCCGCCGAACGGAGGGCAGAGCAAGGGCUCCGUCAACGCGCGCGCGUGGUGGCUGUGUAGACUAGACUAUUGGUCCACGCCAUAGUUGGGCCGUGGUGUGGGGUGGGGAGCUGCACAUCGUCCUGGAUUACGCAUGAGAUGCGCUGCCAAUCUCGUUGCGGUGGUGGGAGAAAGGAGGAUGUAACAAAAGAAGUUCACAUAUCAGUCGGAAUAUUCGUUAGUACCGAGCUAGAAAAAAUGAUGGAUACCACUGGUCCUAGGGUUCUUUGUAGUGUACAUUUCCCACAUCACAGGAACACUCAUGAAUUCAAACACGAAGGGUAGCAUAUCAUCUUCCCACCUCAUUCACAAGAGACAAAAAUAUUAGCCCUAAUAGAGCAUGCGAGCGACAUGCAGAUUCCGUGAGCAGAAGAGGAGGUAGAGGGGGUUAUAACAGGAGUGGUCACCACACUAACUCCAUCAUAAGCGUGAUGCUCUUGCUUGCGUUGUCUCACCAUGGCCGCGGUUUAUCUUCGGUAGCAAGGAAGGAACGAAGAAAAUAUGGUGGAAGAAAAUAUGGCCCAAUGGUGGCAUGAUUAAUGGGCUAAUCUUUCAAAUUAAGAUUGGAGUUUCCGUUUUAGCAUAUUCGGAUUUUUUUGGGCAGGAAACUGUCAAUCUAUUUAUCUUCAAUCAUGGCAGUACAAUGAAUACCAAAAAUAAUAAUAAUUACAUCCAGAUUUAUAGACCACCUAACGACGACUACACGCACUGAAGCGAGUCGAAGGCGCGCCGCCGUCAUCGCCCCUCCCUUGCUGGAGCCGGGCACAACUUGUUGUAGUAGACAGUCCGGAAGUCGUCGUGCUAAGGUCCCAUAGGACCAACGCCCCAGAACAGUAACCGCCGCCGAUGAAGAGAAGUUUAGAUCGGAAGGAUCCAACCUGAAGACGGAUGAACAAAGACGAACAAAGACCGGAUCCAAGCGGAUCCACCAAAGACAACCACCGACCAAAUCCCGCGAGAUCCGGCGGAGACACACCUCCACAUGCCCUCCGACGAUGCCAGACACACCAUUGGGACAGGGGCUAGGCGGGGAGAACAUUAUUCCAUCUUCAAGAAGCCGCCGCCGUCUAGUCUUUUUGAAUAGAACACAAACCCUAACAAAACUUGAAGAAUCACCUAAAAGCAGAGCCCUCCUGCCGGCAAAGGCCGGGAUCCACCGCGCACCCAUGACCCUAAGGCCACAUGAGACGUGGAGAUCGGCGCCGCCGCCAACGGGAGGCAGAAACCCUAGCCCCUUUUCUUGGAGGGGAGACAAAGGUAGGAGAGACGUACGUAUGUAUAUUGGGAUUACUCCUCUAAAAGAAGAGGAAUUGUUGUUUGUUUCGCAGGGAGAUUUAUAUGGUUUGGAAAACAUUGUUGUUUGAUAUAAAACAAAUGUGGUAAACUGUUCCAUUACAGAGUGUAGAUGGAGAUUAUCAAAUCACCUGUUAUGAAAAAUGAGCUAAACAUUCCUAAAGAAUUAAUAUAAAGAUUUGGUUGAACAACAACAUGAGCGAGCUAAUAAGAAUGUCACGCUAAACUCUCAAGUCUUGGUAUUGUUACCACCAUUGUGAUUUCGUGUAGAAAUUCGCCUUGUUCGUGCAUUUGUCCGAGCCUACAUACUACAAUAGUUAGUCCAAACUUCAUACGCUUUUAACCAGGUUGAUUCUACUUUUUCUCUAUCCAUGCACUAAGGAAUGUUUACCUUUUUGAAGAAAAUGUUUACUUCCAACCAUGGAUAAAAUACACAAGGGUUUGCAACUUUUGCAGAAUUUCUAUCCAUGUUCAUAGUGGCUAGAGUUAGUUCGGAUGAAAGGUCGGCACAACUUCAUCACCAUGCAAAUUUUUAAUGUCUUUAAUCAACCAAUAUGGUAAUCGGUUCACACACACUAAACAUGUGUGAUAAAUAUCAUAAAUUGUAAAGAAAGAGACAUAACACAUAGAAGGUAAUGCGGAAAUGUUUGUUUUACAUGUGAAAGAGAUAAAUUAGGGUAAAGUAGCAAGAGUUUCAAUCUGAACAACUAUCUCAUCAAGCUAAAAAGACGGUCAUGAUAUGCUCUCAAGACUCAACUGUAUCCUUGUCGUCACUGUGAUUCUGGUAUGAAAUAGCAUCAUUUGAACUCGAAGGACCCACCUAAAACAUGAGUAAAGAUCAAAACCUUUUCCCAUUAGGAAUAAAAGUAAUGAAUAAAUCCAAACAAUUUCCUUUUUCUGAGAAAAAGAAGGCACACAACUAGGAUGAAUUCAACAUGUCAAACUAACAAAAGAAGAGCAAAUGUAAAUUUUCAGAUGAAUGGUAUCACUGACGUUUACAAUCGAUUCAGGUUUCCUUCUUUUAAUAUUCUUUGUUACGUAAUACUAUUUAUGUUGCUUUAUCUCAUGUUUAUAUGUGUAUAAUAUUGAGAAAAUUGCAUGAAAGCAACCCAACCUACUUGUAGUUCCAUGCUCAACUAGUGCAGCUAUACUGAACUGUUCAUCUUUCACAAAGCAAACCAACAAUGUAUAAGCAAGAAGUGAAGAAAGAACAUGUUAUUAUUUAGUGAUGAAAUGCUAAACUAAGUAGCAAUACCUAUAUUAGUGUAAGUUCUUAAUUCACCCUAUGAAAGUGUGAAGCUAUAAAUUAAUAUAAGAAUCAUGACAUGUAGUGUUUUGCAACAAUGCUAUAUUUAAAGUAUUUACAAUAUUAAGUAGCUAUUUCUCGUACGAUGUUAAAUAACUUGACUAUUAACAACCUCAAUAACAACACAACAAACUCAAUAUCUAGGCAACUUGCACAUGUAGCAUAAAUAAAAUAAGUACACACAUGGGUGCAUUUUUUGGUGAAACAUAGUUUUACUUCAACAGAAGUAAUUUAUCUGUAUAAAUGAAUUAGAAAUAAUUAUUUUGUGUACAUUUCAAGAUAAUAUUAUUUGCUUAAAUGACUAAUAGACUAGAUUAGGAAAGUGGUAACAAGCACAAGGAAGCUAAAUUGGAAAUGAAUAAUAAUAAAAGUUUGAUCAAAUGUAAAAAUUACCUUAUAUUGUGUAGCAAUCUCCGUCAUACGAACGAUCCACCCAAUUUCCUUAUUCAUAGCCUAUAGAAAAGUUAACUUUACUAAUUUUCCAUAUAGGAACAAUCAUAACUAAUUUGUCCAAUAAAAGUAAACACACUAUAUAUAUAUACCUUGCAAAUAUCUCCAUACUUCCUCAUACGAGCAAGUAACUUUUCUCUGUCCCGCUUUUCCCCCACCAAAUUAAGUCGUUGGGAGGAUCUUGGAUACUGAAGUGCCAAGAGAUAUGUUAAGUAACUAGUUAAACUCUUUUCUUUGCUCUUAAGAUGGUUAUGUAUUGUUCAAACUAAAAUGUGAAAAAUGUAUGUUAACUUCUAUUUACGUAAAGAAUUACCUUAUUUGGAAAGACUGGAACGAUUUGAUCAAUUUGCAGGCCUAUUUGUUGUCGAAUCACGUCAUUUGAUAUACCUUCCAGAUGAUGUUUGAGUUGUAUGCCAGAUCGUUGUGAAAAGACCUAUCAAAUGGCAACUCAACAAUUUUGUUAGAUUUCCCAACAUAAUAAAUUUUUAUUAAGGUAAAUUUCAAUUAAGACAACAUACAGUUAUGUCAUACUCCUUUUGAUGAAUGUGGCUCCACAUCUCUUCUAGCUGAGAGAGCUCGUCCUCGCAAGGCUUCCACUUCUUAAAUUUCCAAACUUCCCUCUUUUUUGGCUUACGCACAAUGCCGCCUUUUUUGUAUACAUCUAAGCGUACAAGUGACUCCACAUAUAUGUAGGAUUGCAUAUUGUCCGGCUUGCGAGGGCUAAAAUCUAAAACUGGGCUAAAGCCUGACAACCUCGUCAUGUUUAAUAUCAUAGGCUCGAUAUUCCCUUCAUUCCCAUGCAAAUCAUGAGAAAAUAGCCUACUAUCAUUUCUUUGCAUCAAUAACUUAUCCCCAUAAGACAAAUUUGGACCCGCGAUGUAACCUGCUGUAUGAAUAUUGUACUUCUGGCUCCAACUUUGCUCAACCUUGUUGUCAAGUGUCCAGAUCUGCAACUUACCAUAAAUAACUUUGUGCCAGGUUUGAGCAGUUGCUAUACAUAUUUUCCCAUCUAUCUCUCUGAUCCAGUACCUACGGGGACCACCAUAAACACUAUUUUCAAGUACUGAUGUUGGCAGUUCUAUCCGUGCAAAAGCUUCUUCACC